rnacentral:rRNA from 1 species
UACGUAGGGUGCGAGCGUUAAUCGGAAUUACUGGGCGUAAAGCGUGCGUAGGCGGUUCUCCAAGUCCGUUGUGAAAGCCCCGGGCUCAACCUGGGAAUGGCAGUGGAAACUAGGGGACUGGAAUCUGGCAGAGGGGGUGGAAUGCCGCGUGUAGCAGUGAAAUGCGUAGAUAUCGUAAGGAAGACCAGUGGCGAAGGCGGGUCUCUGGACAGUUCCUGACGCUGAGGCACGAAGGCCAGGGGAGCAAACGGG